rnacentral:rRNA from 1 species
ACGGGAGGCAGCAGUGGGGAAUAUUGCACAAUGGGCGAAAGCCUGAUGCAGCGACGCCGCGUGAGUGAAGAAGUAUUUCGGUAUGUAAAGCUCUAUCAGCAGGGAAGAAAAAUGACGGUACCUGACUAAGAAGCACCGGCUAAAUACGUGCCAGCAGCCGCGGUGAUACGUAUGGUGCAAGCGUUAUCCGGAUUUACUGGGUGUAAAGGGAGCGCAGGCGGUACGGCAAGUCUGAUGUGAAAGCCCGGGGCUCAACCCCGGUACUGCAUUGGAAACUGUCGAACUAGAGUGUCGGAGGGGUAAGCGGAAUUCCUAGUGUAGCGGUGAAAUGCGUAGAUAUUAGGAGGAACACCAGUGGCGAAGGCGGCUUACUGGACUGUAACUGACGUUGAGGCUCGAAAGCGUGGGGAGCAAACAGGAUUAGAUACCCUGGUA